GUCGCAAAGAAUUUUUUUUUAGUCCGGACCUGGAUUUUUCUUGUGAUUAGUAGUUCGGUGGUUUGUGUUUUAAAUGAGACAUAUGUGUACCAAAUAUCAAAAAAAUAUACAGGGUGGUUCUAAAGUUAUGGGGCCAGAAAGAAAUGGGCAAAAUCUAUAAAACACCCUGUAACUAGGUUAUAAAAAUCGGUAAGGCAAUAAAUGUGGUAUAUGUACAACCGCCUCAGUGACCUCUAUUCGCCAUUCAAGUAUUUCCGUUUCCCAAUGAAACAACCUGUAUUAAACAAGAUCAAAAACAUUAAAUGCAGCCUGCAUUAAACCUGUAUAAAUUAAAGUUAUACACUUUUUUCAAAAAAUAAAAAAAAUUAGGUUAUUUACACUCAACCUACACGUUUCAAAGAUGUCUUGACAUAAAUCAAGAUGUAUUCAUGUGUUUCAUAGAUUAUAACAAGGCCUUUGAUAAAGUGUGGCAUGAUCAUCUAAUCAGACUCCUGGCAGAAAAGAAUUUAGAUAAACGAGACAUCCGACUAAUAGCAAAUAUGUACUACAAUCAGAAAGCAGUAGUGAGAGUAGAGAAUAAUACCACUGAAGAAAUUGAAAUAAAGCGAGGUGUGAGACAAGAGGGUGUAUACUGUCACCAACCCUGUUUAAUCUCUAUUCCGAAGACGUAAUGAAUCGAACACUCUCUGAGCAAUCCAUAGGUAUUAAAAUAAAUGGUGUUGGAUUAAACAAUCUGAGAUUUGCCGACGACAUCGUUCUGAUCGCAGAAACACUUGAAGAGCUACAGAUAUUGGUGAAUAAGAUAGCAGACUGCAGCGAAGAAUAUGGACUAUCUGUGAACAUAAAGAAAAGUAAAUUUAUGGUAAUAUCGAAACCAACACGAAAUGUCCAAAAUCUGGCAUAUUUACACAAUAAAAUUAUCGAUCGAGUUAGCAAAUACAAAUAUUUAGGCACUUUUGUAAAUGAAGACAACGAUAUCUCAGCAGAAAUCAAAAUAAGAAUAGAAAAAGCCAGAUCGAUAUUCACUAAAAUGAAGAGAGUGUUGUACGGAAUGGAGUCAUGGACGCUGAAAAAGAUUGAUAUCAAAAAAUUGAAGGCAUUUGAACUGUGGAUGUAUCGCAGAAUCUUGAGAAUAUCAUGGACGGAGAGUCACAAACGUCGAGGUCUUGAGAAGAAUGAAUAAAGAAAAGGAAGUCAUAUUUACGAUCAAAAAACGAAAACUGGAAUAUUUGGGACACAUUACAAGAGGCGAAAGAUAUGAACUCCCUAAUAGCACACGACGUCCUUUGGACGUCCAAAAUAGGUCCAUUUUUGGUCCUUACGUCCAUGGACUAUAAACGGACGUCCUUUGGACGUCCCAUGUUGGACGUCCUUCGGAAGGAAUAAAUAUGGACGUCCUUUGGACGUCCGACGUUGGACGUCCUUCGGACGGAAUAAAUAUGGACGUCCGACGUUGAACGUCCUUUGGACGUCCAUACUGGACGAAAUACGGACGUUUUAUGAACGCUUAUAUAUUAUAUUGGACACAUUAUACCAAUUAACGGGAUCAAAUAGCAAAAUAAUUCAAUAAAAUAUUAACUUAGGCGUUAACUUUACGUUAAUGAAAUACAGUCAAACCUGUCAGUAACGGCCACUAAAAUGAAAGAACUAUUGGCCGAUAUAGAAAGGUGGCCGUUAUUGCCAGUUUUUGUAGUCUAGAUAUACAGUAAAACUUGUGUUACUGGCCACCUGUACUAACGGCCAGUUUAAAAAUUCCCCAAACCAAUUAUAUCUAGACUACAAAAACUGGCAAUACCGGUCACCUUUCUAUAUCGGCCAAUAGCUUUUUCAUUUUUAGUGGCCGUUACUGACAAGUUUUACUGUAAUUGGUUUGCGGAAUUUUUAAACUGGCCGUUAGUACAGGUGGCCGGUGUUUGCAGGGGGCCGGUAACACAGGUUUUACUGUAGUUUAAAUCGAAAAGAUUAAAUCUUAAUUCAAAAUUGUAUAUACAAUUAUUACAAUUAUAAACUAUAGUUUAAUAUCCAAAACAUGUUUUUGAUUUUAUGUAAUGUAAAGAAAAUCUUAUUUGUAAAUUAUUGGUUACAAUGUUUAACAAUAGGAAAUAUUCAAGAAUAAAUAAAAUAAAAGUUUAAUCCUAACAACACAAAACAUUCCAGGAAUGUAGGUAGGUACUACCGUUCUCUUCCGUGAACAUCUAUCUGAUUAAAUUAUGGGUGGAAAGUUACCACAAGAUAUUCUAUGUACAAUGUCUUCCUGGAGGGGUAAAAUUGUCCAUUACAAGAUUUUUAGAGGCCAUUUACUGUUCAAUUUGCGUUCAUUUUCAAAUUUGCCGCGCGAAUAUCUAUGUAGCGUCGCGUGGUCAUUGGUCAUCACAUUUCAUAUAAUUUCAUUUUCGUAAGAUAACCGAUAACCUAAAAAUUUAGUAAAAAUUUUGAUUGGAAAAAAAUGCAUUGAUAAGGGGGUGUGGGAAAUGGAAAUUAGUGGCUUUUUUGCUGUACUGUGUGCUAGUUUUUGCUCUGGGAUCUGGCUGGAUCUCUUGUUUAAACAAUUUUAAUCAGCUGAAAGUGGUCUACAAAAAAAAACAAGAAGGAAAUGUAUAGCCUUGUGGCUAUGAAAGGCAAAAGAGAGAUAUAAAAAGUGUAUUGGCUAGUUGGAAGAAAGUCCACAUUGUCCAUGCAUAAUAAGUUAUUACUUUAUCAACAAAUAUCAAGAAGAUAGCAGGAAGUCACGAGCAACACGAGCAAUUGAACAACUUCAUAAGUUCAAGAAUAUCGAGGAAAUCCAGCUCCUCGAUACUACUGGGCAAACUAGAAGAUUGAAGAGGACAAAGCCUUUUGAACUAGUUUGAGUGAUAGGUGAUAGUGAAAAACGGAGCAUAGUGCUUGUGUGCUGUGCCUGUGUAUGUUAGAAUAGUGCACGAUCUUGUUAGAUUAGAUAAGAGACGCUAUGGGGUAAGCUCUUCAUUUUAAGAAACAGUAGUCAUUUAGGUUAAAUUAAAAUUGCUCCUUGGUCAGUUAUGACCAGAUUGUUUUUUUAUGUUUGGCAAAAAGGACUUAAGUCAGAAUUGCACAUUGAUAAUGUUUUGAUGAUUUCUGGACCAGAAAAAAACUGUUGUAGAUGUAAACUGUAUGUACAGUAGAAUCUACUACAGUACUGUAGAAAUCAUCAAAACAUUAUCGAUGUGCAAUUCUGACUUAAGCCCUUUUUCCCAAACAUCAGAGAAUUGUAAUGUACAAUAAUUCUCCUAUCUGCUUUUUCAUGAAUUUUGUAGGAGAAGAAAAACCAUUUUUAGGAUCAUCUGCUUUCACAUGUAAAUUUUGACAUGUUUUGUAGUAAAUAGAUAGUUGAAUUUACUACAAAACAUGUCAAAAAAUAUAUGAAAACAGGAGGUGACUAUAAAAAAAGUUUUUAGUCUCUCUUACAAGACUCAUGAAAAAACAAAUCGGAGGUAUGUCACAUCUGUGACUAUAUCCAGGGAAUGUCUAAAAAAUAUACUUUGAUGUCCCAAGAACCAAAUAUAACCUACAGUCCAUCUAAUUUACUUACUGUUGCAUGUCAUUAUCUACGCCAGAGAUCUAAGUUGACAUAGUUGCCAAAGUAUAAAAAGAUCCUGAAUCCAUUUUAAAUCAAAUAUAUCACAUAAUUAUUGUAAACGUGGAUUAUACAACAAAACAAAUUAAUAUUCAAUGUAAAUAAGUAAAAACUUAAGAAAUAGAGAACAAGAAUUAAGUUAUAAUCUUUUAAGGUUUGCGUGCAAGCGUUUUUGCACUGCAUUGUUAAUAAUUAAAAAACGGCUCCGAACUCUUGGCAAAAAGCCGGUAGGUUUCUUUGUAUAAGUAUGUCUACAAUAACAACUAAAAAAGUUGUCAGAUACCACGAUGAUUAUUCCAAGUCGUUAUAAAAUUAGUUGAAAUUUAUAUUUUUAUAGUAGAGGAUCUUUUUAUAGUAAAGUAAAUAAUAAAGACAGUAAAUAUAAUAAAUAAAACAGAUACUUAUAGUAAAGAAUAUAAACAAAUAUGAAGUGUCAUCACCACAACUGUCAAAUAAAUGUUACCAAUUUAUUCUAAAAUGUCACCUUCGUUCGAUUACAGUUACAGUGUGAUCCGAACAAAUCUGCUUCAUAAAAACGCUUUAUAAUCCAUUUAUACAAAUUAAAUGAAACAUAUUAUUGUGUAUUUCUUUAGGUUAACAUUAAUAGAAAUCUUCAAAUAUUAUUUCUACGCGUAUAUAAUAAAAUAUGUCUAGAGUCUGUAUUUCCAGUGUACUCAGCAAAGUGAUUCUAAAAAAGAACACACCUACCGCCUAAAUAUGUCGUGUUGGUAUCAUGCGACCUCACAGACUACGACGAGGAUGACGCACAACAGUUAGUAAAUUAGACGAAGUAUGUAGAUAUAUACAGGGUGUAACAAAAAUACAGGUCAUAAAUUUAAUCACAUAUUCUGGGACCAAAAAUAGUUUGAUUGGACCUAACUUACCUUAGUACAAAUGUGCACACAAGAAAAGUUGCAGCCCUUUGGCUGCAACUAUCUUACGAAAAAACUAUAGUAAAAUUUGGACACCCCAUAAAAAUUUUAUGGGGGUUUUGUUCCUUUAAACCCCCCCAAAUUUUUGUGCACGUUUCAAUUUAAUUAUUAUUGUAGUACCAUUUAAACACAACGUUUUAAAAACUUUUUUGCCUCUUAUUGCUUUUUCGAAAAGUCAAUUUUUAUCGAAAUAUUUUGAAUAUUUGUCAAAUCCACCACAUAUUUGUAUAUGGUUAAGUACGAUUAUGGAGACUUGGUAAUAAUAUGCAGACUUAUUUAUGCUUUACAUUUUUAGGUAUAUUUUGAACCAUAUUAAAAAAGAAGCCAGAUCUCGAUAAAAUGUGCCUUAUCGAAAAAAUACAAAGAGGCAAAAAAGUUUUAAAAACAUUCUGUUUAACUAAUGGUACCUCAGUAAUAGUUUAAUUGGAACGUACACAAACAUUUGGGGGGUUUAAAGGAACAAAACCCCCAUAAAAUUUUUAUGUAGACAUGUUAAAAAAGAAGUCGCAACUCGAUAAAAACUGCCUUAUCUGAAAAAUACUAAGAAACAAAAAUAUUGAAUUUAACUAAUGGUACCUACCACAAUAAUAAAAUUGAAUUGGAACGUACACAAAAGUUUGGGAGGAUCUAAGGGAUCAAAACCCCCAUAAAAUUUUUAUGGGGUGCACAAAUUUCACCAUAAUUUUUGUUUAAGAUAUUCCUGCCAUAAUACUGCCACAUGUCCAUUUUCAAUAAAAAAUCGCUAAUAGUUUUCGAUAUAAUCGAAAAAAUCGAUUUUCAUUUUGUAAUUUCAAAGGGCUGUAACUUUUUUUAUGUGCAUAUUUGUACUAAGGUAAGUUAGGUUCAUUCGAACUAUUUUUGGUCCCAGAAUAUGUGAUUUAAUUUAUGACCUGUAUUUUUGUUACACCCUGUAUAUACAGCCGAUUACGCACCACCUUAAAAAUUGGGCAUUUUUGAUGUCUCAAAUUUCCUAAACCUGUUGUUGCAUCUAAGUGAUUUUUUUAUAAUAUUCUAGCCUAGGCUAUAGGUUAAGUACCUCCUUAUGCUUGUCAUGCACGGGGAGCUAUACUGUAAUAUAUAUUAUAUCACAUCGCUCUCUAUAGUAAUGAGUGAGCCUGUACAUACGGAACCAUUUGUUUCCUGUCUGCAGGCUCACUCAUUACUAUAGAGAGCGAUAUGAUAUAAUGUACAUAUAUUACAGCAUAGCUCCCUGUGCGUGACAAGCUUAAGGAGGUAACCUAUAGCCUAGGCUAUAAUAUUAUAAAAAAAUCACUUAGAUGAAACAACAGGUUUAGGAAAUACGAGACAUCAAAAAUACCCCAUAUUUAAGGUGGUGCGUUAAUUUCUUGGAGAAGUGUAUUGUAAUUUAAUGUAAAUAAUGUAAUAUCCAAUAAUUGUAAUUUAAUAUAAGAUGUAAUAUAAGUUCCUUAAAAAAUAUAUUUUUUAUUUCCCACGACAUUAGAUGGAUGUUCGGCAGCAAGACAUUGGACCAAACUAAGACGUCCUAUGAAGGCCCAAUUGACGUCCACCGAACGUCCCUUCGGAUGUUAAGUGGACCUCCAUUGGACGUUUGGCAACGUGGCAUUUGGACCAAAAUUGGACGUCCUGUUAAUGUCCAAUUCACGUCCCCUAGGACGUCCGGUUAAGGUCCAAUUUACUUCCGAUUAAGGUCCAAUUUACGUCCGAUUAAGGUCCCAUUUACGUCCGAUUAAGGUCCAAUUUACGUCCUAUUAAGGUCCAAUUUACGUCCGAUUAAGGUUCAAUUUACGUCCGAUUAAGGUCCAAUUUACGUCCGAUUAAGGUCCCAUUUACGUCCGAUUAAGGUCCAAUUUACGUCCUAUUAAGGUCCAAUUUACGUCCGGUUAAGGUCCAAUUUACGUCCGAUUAAGGUCCCAUUUACGUCCCAUUAAGGUCCAAUUUACGUCCUAUUAAGGUCCAAUUUACGUCCGAUUAAGGUCCAAUUUACGUCCGAUUAAGGUCCAAUUUAUGUCCUAUUAAGGUCCAAUUUACGUCUGAUUAAGGUCCAAUUUACGUCCGAUUAAGGUCCAAUUUACGUCCCCUAGGACGUCCGAUUAAGGUCCAAAUUACGUCCGAUUAAGGUCCAAUAUACGUCCCCUCGGACCUUAGAUGGACGUUCGGUAGCGCGACAUUUGGACCAAAAUAGGACGUAUAAAGGACGUUCCUCGGACGAAAACGGACGUCCAAUGGACGUCCCUAAAGUCCGUGAAGGACGUCCAAUGGACGUCCAUUGGACGUCCUUGUGCUAUUAGGGCUGCUUCGAAUAAUUAUGCAGGAGAAGAUAGCAGGAAAAUGGUCCAUAGGAAGAAGACAAAACUCCUGGCUAAAGAAUCUACGGGAAUGGUAUAGCUCUAGCAACAACGAAUUGUUUCGGUCAGCAGUUUCGAAAAUACGUAUAGCAUGAUGAUCGCCAACCUUCGGAACGAAGAUGGCACUUGAAGAAUAGACACGUUUAUAAAAAAUAGACAUGUUUAGUAAAAGCCUCAACCUAUGCGUGUGAAUUUUUUGAAAUUUAAAAAUUGAUUGCGUCCCACGUAAAAAAAAUAAAAACGAAAAAUGAAGUAUUUGACGGUGGGGGAAGGAAAAUGGGUGGUGGGUUAAAAUUACGCUGAGUCUUAUUUUUGAAGUUAUACUUCUUUAGGCGCGAUUGAGAGUAAAAUUUCAUAAUUCUGCGCGCAUGCGCACACAGACAGUAUAGUAUACGCUGUGAGCUCGUACGUAGAGGGGAUAUUUACAAAUUCGCGAGCGCCAGUAGUGACAAGUCUGUAAACCUUUACCGGAAAUUUGACAUAAAUGUCAAAGUGAUUAAUUUAAAAUUAAAAACAUUAAUUAUAAAAAAUAUUAGUUGGUCAAAGCUGUGGUAUAUAUUUUUAACUUAAAUAUACUUACGUUUUAAAUACUGAAUUUAAGUUUUUUUAAUGUUCCGUAAUAUGUAAUUAUAAAUCAACCUAUCAAUCUUAGCGCCAUCUACACGAUAAUUGUGAAAGUAUCCGAAGUAAGAAAUUCAUAUUUUAUCAAUAUAACGUCAAAAUGAUUAGCAAAAUCUUAAAAAAAUCGAUUACAAUUUAAUUAAUUUUUUGCAUUGUAAAUAAUAAGCGAUAACAAUUAAAUAAUAAAUUUAAAAAUUACCGGUGAAAGUUAAAUUAGUAACCGCUAGAAGCGACACCAGCGAAGCUCAGAGCGUAUAAAAGUUAUACGGGAUCUGAUUGGGUGUCAAAAUCAUCUGUCAAUAAUUGUUCAAUAUGGAGAUUUUGGUUAUGAGAUGUUAGCACCUCAUUGAUCGAAUUUCGUAAAAAUAAUUAUACCAUUCUUUUGCUCACGGUUUGUACAGCAAUGAUCACUAGGUUUCAGAUUUUGAUCACCUGUAGUUUAUUUUUUAUUAAGGGUUGAAAAUUCAAGGACGAAAAAAAAGAUGUUGGCACCUCAUUGAUCGAAAUCUUUAAAACGAAUGACUGUAUUCGAUAGGAAAUAAAGCGCUGAACAAUGAUCACCUAUAUUGAACAUUGAUCAGGCUUUUUUUUGCACUGAAAAUAAUUAUUAAAGUUGCAAUAACCUUAGCACGCACGCGCAGUCCAUUAAAAAUUUUAUAUCUAACAGGAGCUCUGUUCUUUAUUUGAAAAAUUUUCAAGGACAGUCACUCUUCGGUCCGAGUAAAAUGAUUCUGUCUAAAUCUUGACCCGAGGGGUAGCGGCGUGUAAUUUGGGUUGCCUAUAUAAACAUCGACGAAAUUUGAGUUAUUUAAAACGCUGAAAAGACUAGUUAGUGAUAAUAAAAACCGAUAUUUACUGCGGUUACAUGAUAUUUAAUAUUAAAAUAUUAUUGGAUGUGGUAGAAUGUAGACUCUUUGUAUAAUUACCAAUUGAACAGUGAAGCUGUUAGAUCAAUUUUCCGAUUCAAUCAUUUCUACUGUUUACAGUUGUGUGUUUGUGUUUGCUUUUGAGUAUGUAUUUCAUUUUCUUGACAUCGAAAAUGUUAGGUGUGGAAAGAAUUAAUAAGUGCGUGAAAUGCGAAAAAGUGUAUAAACAUAAACAUGAUUUAAAAAGACAUGUAAAAAGUUCGCAUCCCGACAAAUUGGAUGCAAUUGCCCCUUUAAAAGUGCUUAAAGGCAACGUCUAUAAGUGCACACAUUGUGAUAAACAAUUUAGAUAUAAGUCAAGUUUAAACUUUCAUGUCAAAAAAGUGCACACAAAUGUAUCAGUUUAUGCAGAAACUAAAACAUUUCAUCAUAAAUGUUCUGUGUGUAAUUAUCAUGCAACUUUUAAAAAGGACUUUAUUAAACAUUAUGAAACUUCUCAUAGCAUUCCUAUGCAAUAGGAUACAAUAGAGUUUUCCAACCAUGAUGACUUUAUUUCUUGGAAGAAUAAAAUAGAGCUUGAAACAAA
rnacentral:lncRNA from 1 species